rnacentral:rRNA from 1 species
AGGCCCAAAAUGCAGUCGAGCGACGAGGGAGCUGCCCCUUAGGUCAGCGGCGGACGGGGGAGACCUUGGGUAACCUGCCUGUAAGACUGGGAUAACUCCGGAAACGGGGCUAAUACCGGAUGCUUGAUUGAACCGCAUGGUUCAAUCAUAAAGGGGCUUUUAGCUACCACUUCAGAUGGACCCCGGCGCAUUAGCUAGUUGGKGAGGUAACGGCUCCCAAGGCGACGAUGCGUAGCCGACCUGAGAGGGUGAUCGGCCACACUGGGACUGAACACGGCCCAACUCCUACGGGAGGCAGCAGUAGGGAAUCUUCCGCAAUGGACGAAAGUCUGACGGACAACGCCCGUGAGUGAUGAAGGUUUUCGGAUCGUAAAACUCUGUUGUUAGGGAAGAACAAGUACCGUUCGAAUAGGGCGGKACCUUGACGGUACCUAACCAGAAAGCCACGGCUAACUACGUGCCAGCAGCCGCGGUAAUACGUAGGGGCAAGCGUUGUCCGGAAUUAUUGGGCGUAAAGCGCGCGCAGGGGUUUCUUAAGUCUGAUGUGAAAGCCCCCGGCUCAACCGGGGAGGGUCAUUGGAAACUGGGGAACUUGAGUGCAGAAGAGAGAGUGGAAUUCCACGUGUAGCGGUGAAAUGCGUAGAGAUGUGGAGGAACACCAGUGGCGAAGGCGACUCUCUGGUCUGUAACUGACGCUGAGGCGCGAAAGCGUGGGGAGCGAACAGGAUUAGAUACCCUGGUAGUCCACGCCGUAAACGAUGAGUGCUAAGUGUUAGAGGGUUUCCGCCCUUUAGUGCUGCAGCAAACGCAUUAAGCACUCCGCCUGGGGAGUACGGUCGCAAGACUGAAACUCAAAGGAAUUGACGGGGGCCCGCACAAGCGGUGGAGCAUGUGGUUUUAAUUCGAAGCAACGCGAAAACCUUUACCAGGUCUUGAAUCCUCUGAAACCCCUAGAGAGGCUUUCCCCUUUCGGGGGAGAGUGACAGGUGGUGCAUGGUUGUCGUCAGCUCGUGUUCGUGAUUUUGGGUUAAGUCCCGCACGGAGCGCAACCCUUGAUCUUARGCCAGCAUUCAGUUUGGCCUUCUUAAGGGUGUACUGCCGGGUGACAAACCGGAGAAGGGUGGGGGAUUG